UUCAACUUCACUGUAAAUAUCACUGUUCAAGACAAGCAAGAAUCUCCACUGUUCACUGUUCAGGUCGGCCACCUGUCCACUGUUCACUGUUCAUGUCGGCCACCUGUCCACUGUUCACUGUUCUUGUCGGCCACCUGUUCACUGCUCACAGUUCAUGUCGGCCACCUGUUCACUGUUCACUGUUCAUGUCGGGCACCUGUCCACUGUACAUCUAAUUUUACUGUUCAUAAUAGCCACCU
rnacentral:lncRNA from 1 species